UAUUUAAAUUAAAGUAAUAAUAAAUAAUUUUUUUAAAAUUAAUUUUAAAAGUUUGAUUUUAGCUUGAUUAUUUAUUUAAUAAUUAUUUUGCAUGUAAAUUUUUGUGAGUAUUUGAUUAAUUUUAAAAAAAUUAUUUAUUAUUUAUAUUUGCAGCAUUUAAUUUUAAUAAUUAAAUAAUUUUAGAAUUAUUAAUUAUUUUAAUAUAGGCAAAAAUUGUGCCAGCAGCUGCGGUUAAACAAUUUAUGUAAUUAAAUAUUAUUAAUUUAUAAAUUUAUUAUAUAAAUUAAUUUUAUAUUUUUUAUAAUUAGGUGAAAUUAUUUAUUAAAAUUUAUUAUUAAAUUUGAAAUAUUAUUUAAUUUAUGAAAUCUAAUUAAUAAACUAGGAUUAGAUACCCUAUUAUUUUAGAAUUAAAUUUUAUAAUUUAAGGAUUAAUAGUUAUGUUCUUUAAACUUAAAAAAAUUGGCGGUAUUUAAAUCUAAUUAGGGGAAUUUGUUUUUUAAUUGAUAAUCCUCAAGGUACCUUACUUUAAUUAUAAAUUUGUUUAUUGUCGUUAACAAAAUAUUUUUAAAGAAUUAUAAAUUUUUAAAAAUUAUAAAAAUAAUUUAUUUCAGAUCAUAGUGCAGUUAUAUUAAAGUUAGAAUGAAUUACAAUGAAAUUUAUUUAUAUGAAUUUAUAGUUGAAAAAUUAUAAUGAAAGUGGACUUAAUAGUAAAAUUAAAUUAUGAGUAUAUUAAUUUGAAUUAAGAAUUAAAUGUGUACAUAUUGCCCGUCACUCUCAUUUUAAAAUGAGAUAAGUCGUAACAAAGUAAGUGUAUUGGAAAAUGUACUUAGUAAGU
rnacentral:ncRNA from 1 species